UAAAGCACCCCAAGCAGUGGGCAAGACUGCCAGUAAGCAAAGAUUUACUCAGUGUGUGAGAAUGUGGAGGAGUCCUUGCCUGGAUCUCACCAUGAACUCUGACUGCCCUGACACUCACUGGCUGGCCUUGAACUCACAGAGAUGUGCUUACUGCUGCCUUCCAAAUGCUGGGAUUAAAGAACUGCACCACUAUACCAGAUACAUCUUGACUAACUUGAGCCAACACAUUAUACAGCCAACCACAGGGGAAAAUUGGCGGGAAGGACACUGUGGAGAGAGACCACACAGAGGGAUCAGCAGCUGUGAGAUUUCUUGGCCCAUGCUUGAGAACGGGGAGAGUACCUCAGGUGAUGGUGGCUUAGGUCCAGUAAUAAAUGAAAGCCUCACCCCCACCACCCACUCCCAGGGACCACCCAGCUAAACCUACGGAAAAGGCCUGGAGACUCUACUGAAGGCCAGCUUCUUCUUGCUUUGCACUUGACUAUGUACUUUGGCCUCUGAGGUUUUUCCAUAGAAACUGGAACUUUUGAGAAGGAGAUACAACUGCUUCUAAACUCACAACGUUGUGUUUUCCAAAACAGUGUUUAUAUCUGUUACACAGAAAGUGAAAUAAAAUUUAAAGCAUGCUC
ensembl:antisense Gm28153 predicted gene 28153